rnacentral:rRNA from 1 species
GCGAACGCUGGCGGCAGGCUUAACACAUGCAAGUCGAGCGCUCGUAGCAAUACGAGAGCGGCAGACGGGAGAGUAACACGUGGGAACGUACCCUUCAGUUCGGAACAACCCAGGGAAACUUGGAUUAAUACCGGAUACGUCCGUAAGGAGAAAGAUUUAUCGCUGAAGGAUCGGCCCGCGUCCGAUUAGCUAGUUGGUGAGGUAACGGCCCACCAAGGCGACGAUCGGUAGCUGGUCUGAGAGGAUGAUCAGCCUCACUGGGACUGAGACACGGCCCAGACUCCUACGGGAGGCAGCAGUGGGGAAUAUUGGACAAUGGGCGCAAGCCUGAUCCAGCCAUGCCGCGUGGGUGAUGAAGGCCUUAGGGUUGUAAAGCCCUUUCGGCGGGGAAGAUAAUGACGGUACCCGCAGAAGAAGCCCCGGCUAACUUCGUGCCAGCAGCCGCGGUAAUACGAAGGGGGCUAGCGUUGCUCGGAAUCACUGGGCGUAAAGCGCACGUAGGCGGCUUGCUAAGUCGGGGGUGAAAUCCUGGAGCUCAACUCCAGAACUGCCUUCGAUACUGGCGAGCUUGAGUCCGGGAGAGGUGAGUGGAACUGCGAGUGUAGAGGUGAAAUUCGUAGAUAUUCGCAAGAACACCAGUGGCGAAGGCGGCUCACUGGCCCGGUUCUGACGCUGAGGUGCGAAAGCGUGGGGAGCAAA